CCAAGGGUACGGCUGUUCGCCGUUUAAAGAGGUACGUGAGCUGGGUUUAGAACGUCGUGAGACAGUUCGGUCCCUAUCUUCCGUGGGUGUAGGAUACUUGAGAGGAGUUGCCCCUAGUACGAGAGGACCGGGGUGAACGAUCCACUGGUGGACCAGUUGUUAUGCCAAUAGCAGUGCUGGGUAGCUAUGAUCGGACAGGAUAACCGCUGAAGGCAUCUAAGCGGGAAGCCCCCCUCAAAACAAGGUAUCCCUGAGAGCCGAGGUAGACCACCUCGUCGAUAGGCCAGAGAUGUAAGCGUAGUAAUACGUUCAGUUGA
rnacentral:rRNA from 11 species